GGCCGGGUGGCGAAAAGGUAUACGCACCGCACUCAAAAUGCGGCGCCGCGAGGCAUGAGAGUUCGAAUCUCUCCCCGGCUACCA
rnacentral:tRNA from 1 species